rnacentral:rRNA from 1 species
UACGUAGGGUGCGAGCGUUGCCCGGAUUUAUUGGGCGUAAAGGGCGCGUAGGCGGUCACGCACGUCCGUUGUGAAAUCGCUCGGCUCAACUGGGCGGGGUCAGCGGAUACGGCGUGGCUGGAGCAAGCUAGGGGGCAAUGGAAUUCCCGGUGUAGUGGUGGAAUGCGUAAAUAUCGGGAGGAACACCAGUGGCGAAGGCGGUUGCCUGGAGCUUUGCUGACGCUGAUGCGCGAAAGCGUGGGGAGCGAUCCGG